GGCUAAAGGUGGGUUUGUGGAGCUACACGCACACAACAUACAUACUGUGCGUCUGGCAUCAGUCUUAACGGGAGCAGAAUGAUUAGCAUGUUAGCACUGAGAAAGUGUGAGAGGAAAAGACAGCCUUGUUUGCAUUAGGUUUUGGUUGCAAUCCAACACCAAAGCUUGUGCCCAGAUCAACACAGUGCCAAAACUCAGUAGCCCAAAAGCAAAGUCACUCUGACACCGCAAGACUAGGUUAAGUGCAAAGGGCAAUCAUAGACAUCCAGGAUAACAGCCACUGAGCUAACAUAUGGAAAUAAGGGACGAGCUGGAGGCAAAUAAUGGCCAAAUACAGCAUUUGCAUGUUCCUGUAGAGUGAGGUAAAGCCAUGGAACUGACCCAUCCCCAGGGCCCAAACAGAGACCAUGUGGAUUAGGCUAACAGGGAACAGGUAUGGGUCAGGGCAAUCCCCUUGUUUUGAAAUCCAACUUCACAAAUUGACAGUAAACUCCUCCUUGGGCCUUUUCACUAUUUCAUCAUACUGGCCACACCAUUCACGUGCCAUCACUAGUCACUAGCUUCAAUCCACAACUGGAACAUAGACUAAUGGAACCGAACUCCAAAAGGAGGAGAGGUAAGAAUGACACCCAUGGCUUGUGAAGGAGGAGAGGUAAGAAUGACACCCAUGGCUUGUGAAGGAGGAGAGGUAAGAAUGACACCCAUGGCUUGUGAAGGAGGAGAGGUAAGAAUGACACCCAUGGCUUGUGAAGGAGGAGAGGUAAGAAUGACACCCAUGGCUUGUGA
ensembl:lncRNA